AUUGAACGCUGGCGGCAGGCUUAACACAUGCAAGUCGAGCGGAGAUGAGGUGCUUGCACCUUAUCUUAGCGGCGGACGGGUGAGUAAUGCUUAGGAAUCUGCCUAUUAGUGGGGGACAACAUUCCGAAAGGAAUGCUAAUACCGCAUACGUCCUACGGGAGAAAGCAGGGGAUCUUCGGACCUUGCGCUAAUAGAUGAGCCUAAGUCGGAUUAGCUAGUUGGUGGGGUAAAGGCCUACCAAGGCGACGAUCUGUAGCGGGUCUGAGAGGAUGAUCCGCCACGCUGGGACGCAGACACGGCACAGACUCCUACGGGAGACAGCAGUUGGGCAUAUUGGACAAUGGGGGGAACCCUGAUCCAGCCAUGCCGCGUGUGUGAAGAAGGCCUUAUGGCUGUAAAGCACUUUAAGCGAGGAGGAGGCUACUGAGACUAAUACUCUUGGAUAGUGGACGUUACUCGCAGAAUAAGCACCGGCUAACUCUGUGCCAGCCGCCGCAGUAACAC
rnacentral:rRNA from 1 species